rnacentral:rRNA from 1 species
GACGAACGCUGGCGGCGUGCUUAACACAUGCAAGUCGAACGAUGAAGAAGAGAAACGCGAACUUCGGUUCAAAUUUCACUUCGGAUUAGUGGCAGACGGGUGAGUAACGCGUGAGCAACCUACCUCUUACAAAGGGAUAGCCUCGGGAAACCGUGAUUAAUACCAUAUGACACAUUCAUAAGGCAUCUUAAGAAUGUUAAAGCUACGGCGGUAAGAGAUGGGCUCGCGUCCCAUUAGCUAGUUGGUGAGGUAACGGCCCACCAAGGCGACGAUGGGUAACCGGCCUGAGAGGGUGAACGGUCACAUUGGAACUGAGACACGGUCCAAACUCCUACGGGAGGCAGCAGUGGGGAAUAUUGCACAAUGGAGGGAACUCUGAUGCAGCGACGCCGCGUGAGCGAUGAAGGAAUUCGUGUCGUAAAGCUCUGUUCUAUGGGAAGAAAAGGACUGUACCAUAAGAGAAAGCCCCGGCUAAAUACGUG